rnacentral:lncRNA from 1 species
CAGCUGCUCCUACUGGUAUUGUGUCUGCCGGGACACUUGCACAGAGGCAGUUUCACUGGUAUCAUGCUGUUUUUGCUGUAGGGGUACUGGCAGCUUCAGGAGCUGGCACAGCUGUAUUAAUCAAGGUAUCAAUAUCUGCUAUUGUAUCAUUACCCAAAAAAAUAGUACAUCUCUAUCAUUUCAUAUUUAGUAAGAUAUAUCAUAUGUUAAUGCCUAGCCUAACUUACAUAUUCGGUUGCCAUCUCUUCAAACUGCUUAUAUCCGGCUUCAAGUGAAAUUGCAUAAGCUAGGGUUUUCUCACAGUUAUAUUGCAUGUUCAGAUAAUGUCUUUUUUGUUUUAGAAUGCUAUUAUCCCAAGGUUGAAGUCUUGGAUUCGUAAAGUUGUGUUGGAAGAAGAGAAUGAAAAUGCCAAGAAAAGUGAUGCGAAACCAAGUUUGGCAGAAGAGGCAGCUGCUGCAGCAAAAGCAGCUGCGGCUGCAGCCGCUGAUGUUGCAAGAGCAAGCCAGGAAAUGUUGAGCUCCAAAAAUGAAGGUGGGAUUCUAAUUACCUUUUUGUUUUACUGAGUAGUUUGUUUAUGUUUUAUUGGUCUUUUUCCUUACGCCUCAGUAAUUAUCUUCUUGAUUUACUGAACCUACUUUGAUCCUUGUCAGAGAGAAGGCGCUUUGAGGAGUUUAUGAAUCUGAUAGAUGUGCAAGUACAAGAAAUGAAGUCAAUGAGUAAUGCCAUAAGGAAAUUGGAAGGUACUUAGAUCCUACUUUUAGUCAAACUAUGAAACAUUCAUGGACUUUGAUUCUUGAACUUUUCCUUUUGUGUCCUUGCUUAUAUCUGAAUUGUUGCAUUACCAACAAUUGAUCCCCAGAAAUUAUUAAAUGAACACUGGUUAGAGGAAGUACUAGUGUUUUGUACCACUUCCUUGGUUAAUAAACAUCAUGCUGGAAGUUAUCUCAGCUGUGAAUAUUGAUACCUCACUUGUAGAGCAUUCUCUCAAGUUUCUGGCACACAAAAGCCUCUCAACUCAUGGUAAACUAGACGAUAAUAAAUACAUUUUUUUUUGGUUUUGUAAGUCUGAUUUUCUUCUGUUGCUAUGCAAUAAAUAUGUAGGCAUAAUGCUUGAAAAAGUCCCCCAACUAUUCAAGAAAUUUGAAAUGAAUCUUUAUUCUUCUAUUGCGUUCAAUCAAGCCCGUGUAUUUUAAUUUGAGUCAAAUAAGUCUUUAUGACUAAUGUCUGACUAAUUGUUAUGAGCCAAAAUGCCACUUGUCAUUUUACACCCACGUGGCAUUGAUGUGGAGGGUAAAAAAUACCACAUGACUAUGUCAUCAUUCAUUAUGACAUGUCAAAAUGCCACAUCAAUGUCACAUGGCAUGGAAUGACACGUGCCAUUUUGAUUAAGUCAACUAUUAGUUAUAAGGACUUAUUUGACUCAAAAUAAAAGUACAAGGAUGUAUUUGGUUCAAAAUAAAAGUAUAACGGCUUGAUUGAACACAAUUAAAAAAUAAAGAUUUAUUUGAAUUUUCUUGAAUAAUUUGGGGACUUUUUAAGAUAUUAUGCCUUCUUAUUAUUAUCAAAUUAUAAUAAAUAGUGUUAUUGUUAGCUUUUUGUGCCUGGAUGUAGUUUAGAUUUCUGCAUAAGACCUCCCAAUGGUGGUUGGUUAGUUGUUUAAGUUCAUUACUAAAUUCUGUUGUUUGCCUAACCAUUAGGACAAGCUGAUAGCUCUGGCAGAACAUUUGUUGAUCAUGAAGAUCACAGAGUGUCGGCCUCAAGUACGAAGGUAUGCUGAAACCAGGUGUUGACUCUGAAUGCUUUUUAUCUGUAUUGGAAAAUAAAUUCCCUGAUCCCCGUUUGAGGAGUGCAAGAUGAGUUAUUACUAAAUAAAAAAUGCCUUUACAGCAAUCCUAUGCGAAUGGCAGGGUGGAUGCUGAUGUGCGCUCAGGUAAUUUUUCUGUGAUUCAUAUUCUGGUAGUUAGUUAUGUAGUCUGUUAAACAGUUUGAAUUCCUGUACCGUAUAACAAGGAUUUCCUGUGCAGUGAGAUCUGCCUCACCACCUGCAUCUGCGGAACCACCUCACCCAAAGUCAUAUAUGGAGGUAGUAAUUCUCUUGAUCUUUUGGCUACUCAGACAUCCUUAAAAAGAAGUACUAUAAUAAUGUUCCACAGUCCUCUGUACUGCAUAAUGUACUUGCUAUCCUUAAUUCUCAUAGUCCAAGCUAUGACUGAGUUUGAAUUUUUAAUUUACUUGGUCUUUCAAUCCGUUUCUAACAGUUUCAAAACACAAAUCAUAUUUUUGGAUAGGUUUUGAAGAAAUUUUACUAAUUGAUACUUGUAAUUAUGUUGCAGAUUAUGGCAAUGGUCCAGAGAGGGGAGAAACCUUCAAAUAUCAGAGUAAACCAGUUUACAUUUCUAUGUUGAUAUUAGCUUGUCUACUGCAUCAAUGGUAACUCUGUCAUUUCUGAUUCUUAUGCAGGAAAUCAAUGAUAUGCCUCCCAACCCUAACCAGCAACCAUCAAAUCCUCGCAUAGCACCAAGAACUAAGGUAUGUUUUAGAGUUUUUCUUUAAUCUUUUGGAUCAUUUUCCUCUUGCAUUAUAUUCAUAGACUACCAGGAUUCCACUUCAAGAUGGUUAACUACUUAAAAUCUUGGAAAAAUUGGAUAUUUUAAGUAUUAUAUUUGAAGAGUUUGUUCAUCACCUAUAGGGGGCCACAACUAAUCUAUUUACCAAAUAGUUACUGAUUUGAUGCUUUGGACGAAAAGAGUGGCCCUCUGGAUCAGGUUUCUGCAUCUCACGGUCUGGUGAGGUUCAAUCUAAGGAAAUAUAAUCAAAUCUUGGUCACCAUGUUUUAUUUCUUGGGAUAAUUUUGGAAUUGCCACUGUGUUAAUGCCAUUAGAAUGUUAGAAUACUUGGAAAUAAUCAGUACUACUGCUUUUAUUUGCUGAAAAAUAUGACUUAGAAAGGGUCAUGUCAAGGUGCCUUUAAUUUGCCCAAAUCUGACUAUUAUUUGUUUUUUUAAAUGAGCAGCCUUGGGAGGCGCAAAAUGGCUCCAGCCAGGUACUCCAGUCUCAAGGAAGUGGCGAAGGCUUGGUUCAAAAAGUUCAAGACAAUGGGUUAAACUAUUUGGUUGAUGAUGAGAGCUCAACACCUUGGUGGCAACGGAAAAAUGUCAGAAUCACAGAGGUUGAAAAUGAAGAUGAACUUAAGGCUGGACCUUAUGGGGUGAAAACCAAUGAACCACCAGUUCAGCGUACAUGGGUUCCUCCCCAGCCGCCACCUGUGGCAAUGCCAGAAGCAGCUGAAGCCAUUCGACGGCCAAAAUCAUCAGCUCUGAAAGAGGCUGCUAAACAAGAGGAAUUGGCUGAGGAUCAGUCAGUGGCUUGCCCUUUAGAGGCAACUGAUGAGUUAAAUAGGAUCACAAAAAUAUCUGAAUCAGCAGGUGCAGUGGAGAUAAAUGGGGGUUUUUCAAGCAUGAACUCAACUGAGAUACAAGAACAAGAACAGAGCUACUCAGAGAACUAAAGCCGGAUUAACUUUCUAGGGUAAGCCUGAUUUAAGGUUUACCAAUACAUGUGUUUAAAAAUGAUAAAAAGUACCCAAGAAUAUUUUCUGUCAACAUCUAAACUACUGUGCUUUAAAAUUGAGCAUCCUCGCAGUAUAGGCAGACCUUUCUUUUCAUGACAAGUUCUGUAUGUAGAAUGAUAAUAAUAAUAAUAAUUCAUUGUCUGCUAGUUUUUGAAAGUAUCAUCUUGCCUUUUAGCAACUUACCUACCUAAGUAGUCAAGAAAAGCACUCAACAGGCUGUUGAGGUAUGUGCAAGGUUGUCUCUUUGCAUCAUUCAGUUUCCGAGUCUAGUUAUUGUUUGAUGAGGAAACACCCUGACGGUAAAUGAUCGUCUGAGCUGGUCUGGGCUGGCCCUGUAACUGCUGAAAACUUUUGUUUGCAUCCAUUUGUCGAAAAAAUUUAAAAAUUCUAGCAUUACACUGAAGAAUUAGCUAAUGAUGUUGGGUUUUUAGGUAUAACAUUUGCCCACCCCACUAACUCUAAGCAAGUCUUUCCUUUUGGAACCACUCAUCCACUCUUUUCUCUUCACAUCCCACUCCAUAUAGUAUUUGUGGCACCC